GCUAUACUCCAUGAUCCCCUUCACGUGGAGAUUUCGAAAGCGGGUGGCCUCCGCGGUGGUUUCAGAAUGACCCUCUCUCAAUCUGCGAAGUUCGCCUUCCAUCUUCUUUGACCUUUUUGUCAAGUGAAGGACUUCCUUCUUCAGCCGCUGGAUCGUCGCCUUCAGCAAAAUCUCCAGGGGCAGGGGAAGUGCUUCUGCAGGACACUGCCAUCGGAAGGCAAAAGCAUCAAGACACGACUCAUCACAGAAAGAAAAGCAGAGAGAAGAAAGGGAGGAGGGAGAAGCCACCCACGACAAGAAACUCAACUUUAUUGAUUGGAUGAUUCUUGAAGACAAAAAGGAAA
rnacentral:lncRNA from 1 species